rnacentral:rRNA from 1 species
AACGUAGGAUCCGAGCGUUGUCCGGGAUCACUGGGUGUAAAGGGUGCGUAGGCGGGCUUGCGCGUCAAGGGUUAAAGACCUCGGCUCAACUGAGGGAAUGCCCUUGAUACGGCAGGCCUUGAGUGCGGGAGAGGAUGGUGGAAUUCCUGGUGUAGCGGGGAAAUGCGUAGAGAUCAGGAGGAACACCGAAGGCGAAGGCAGCCAUCUGGACCGCCACUGACGCUGAGGCACGAAAGCGUGGGGAGCAAACAGG